rnacentral:lncRNA from 1 species
CUGUGCUUCACGUAUCCUACAUGGUUUUAAUUCACACAUAGGCACACGUCAAUCAUACAUUCAAAGCAUAUACGUAAACUAUAUUGAUUCAAUGAAAUCAUUAGUUUACUAUAUCUCUUGUUCAUUAGUUUCAUAUAGAAACCUUUAACAUUUAGCCAAUCUUAUCUUUCUUAUCAAUCUUUGUUUGACAUAGUCGUUCUGCACUUAGACAUACUAGACAUCAUACUCGACAAGUAAUCAUGCUUACCAGUCUUAAACAAACAUACUCUAAGGUUUGGUUUUAACAACCAAAACUUCUUGGCCAUUCUACAAUGUGGCGCUACGACAAGGUAGUUGGGGGCCUAGCUCCUCGGUGAGCGAGCAGCUGCCCAGUUCGCCGGUGAGCUGGCGGGGGUUGCAAGGGAGCAACGCCUGCUAGACACCAGCCAGGUUCAUCACAUUCACUUUUCAAAACUUCUUUGAAUUUCACAAAAGUUUUCAUUCG